UCACUUUUCAUUCAUGCGCAAUGGCCUAUAUAGGAAGGUGCCGGAGCAAUCCGGCUAUGGUGAUAAAGUAUGCCGUGUAAUAGACGCAGCGGACGCGGGGGCAGUACCCGCCGGCUCCACCAAAAGCCCUGAGCGAUCAGGGUCUCUGACGGGGCCGAACCAGGAUCGACGUGUGUUCAAAGACGGUGUUUUUGCCCGGCCCGAGUAAGCCGUGAAACUGUUCAAAACCUACAAGUGCCAACGAUAACGAGGCUCUUGCUCUUGCUGCGUAAUUGAGGGGCUCACGCCCUGACAUUACACAAAUAGAACGCGGUUGGACCCACCGGGCAACAGAAGGGAUUCCAGCGGUACGGGGAGCACCGGGCAACAGAAGCUCCCCACU
rnacentral:tmRNA from 1 species